GUGAAGAACGUAGCGAAAUGCGAUAAGUAAUGUGAACUGCAGAAUUCAGUGAAUCAUCGAAUCUUUGAACGCACAUUGCGCCCGCCAGUAUUCUGGCGGGCAUGCCUGUUCGAGCGUCAUUUCAACCAUCAAGCCCCCGGGCUUGUGUUGGGGACCUGCGGCUGCCGCAGGCCCUGAAAAGCAGUGGCGGGCUCGCUGUCACACCGAGCGUAGUAGAUUUUAUCUCGCUCUGGGCGUGCUGCGGGUUCCGGCCGUUAAACCACCCUUUUAACCCAAGGUUGACCUCGGAUCAGGUAGGAAGACCCGCUGAACUUAAGCAUAUCAAUAAGCGGAGGA
rnacentral:misc_RNA from 1 species